UUAGCAUAGCCCCGCCCCCACCACGCGGUUCCCCGCUCGCGGGUGGCCAGCGGCGAUGCCACUCAGCGUCCCACCUCCUGGCCCCGCCCACGCUGCGAGCCCCGCCCCCUCGCCUGGGCGCAGCCUACCCCGCUGCCUGCCCCGCUCCCCGCCCCUCCCGGGGCCUCCCGCCGUCCGGGCUCCUGAUUGGCCGCGCUGCCUGCCAGUGCCCGUCCCCCGGGCUCCGGCCCCGCCCCCGGAGGGAGCGGGCGCUUGCCGGCUAGGCGGCGGGUUCGGCUGCGCGGCGAGGCUGAGGCGGCCGCGGCGGCCAGAGCUCAGGGAGCGGACGUGUGGUUCCUGAUCCUUGGCACCAAAGACAGCUAGGCCUCGUGCACAGCUCUCUGAACAACAGGGGCCCAGAGCUGAUGGCAGACAAUGUCAGCCACUAACAACAUAGCCCAGGCCCGGAAGCUGGUGGAGCAGCUCCGCAUCGAAGCUGGCAUCGAGCGCAUCAAGGUGUCCAAAGCCUCGUCAGAACUCAUGAGCUACUGCGAGCAGCACGCCCGGAAUGACCCCCUCCUGGUCGGAGUCCCCGCCUCCGAGAAUCCCUUUAAGGACAAGAAGCCCUGUAUUAUUCUGUAGCCUUGUUUUCUGGUGUGUCCCUCCCUCUGUCUCUCUCAGCUAGGGCCUCAUUCACUACACAGUCAAGCAAAACAUUUCAAGUCCCAAAACUUCCAGUACCCAAAGAAAUGCGAACAGCCCCCA
rnacentral:lncRNA from 12 species